rnacentral:rRNA from 1 species
AGUGAACGCUGGCGGUAGGCCUAACACAUGCAAGUCGAACGGCAGCACAGUAAGAGCUUGCUCUUACGGGUGGCGAGUGGCGGACGGGUGAGGAAUACAUCGGAAUCUACUUUUUCGUGGGGGAUAACGUAGGGAAACUUACGCUAAUACCGCAUACGACCUACGGGUGAAAGCAGGGGAUCUUCUGACCUUGCUCGAUUGAAUGAGCCGAUGUCGGAUUAGCUAGUUGGCGGGGUAAAGGCCCACCAAGGCGACGAUCCGUAGCUGGUCUGAGAGGAUGAUCAGCCACACUGGAACUGAGACACGGUCCAGACUCCUACGGGAGGCAGCAGUGGGGAAUAUUGGACAAAGGGCGCAAGCCUGAUCCAGCCAUACCGCGUGGGUGAAGAAGGCCUUCGGGUUGUAAAGCCCUUUUGUUGGGAAAGAAAAGCAGCAGGUUAAUACCCCGCUGUUCUGACGGUACCCAAAGAAUAAGCACCGGCUAACUUCGUG